CAGCCGCCGCGGGAAUACGUAGGUCCCGAGCGUUGUCCGGAUUUAUUGGGCGUAAAGCGAGCGCAGGCGGUUAGAUAAGUCUGAAGUUAAAGGCUGUGGCUUAACCAUAGUACGCUUUGGAAACUGUUUAACUUGAGUGCAAGAGGGGAGAGUGGAAUUCCAUGUGUAGCGGUGAAAUGCGUAGAUAUAUGGAGGAACACCGGUGGCGAAAGCGGCUCUCUGGCUUGUAACUGACGCUGAGGCUCGAAAGCGCGGGGAGCAAACAGGAUUAGAUACCCGCGUAGUCCCUGUCUCUUAUACA
rnacentral:rRNA from 1 species